AUCGCUUGAAAAUUGAAGUUGAAAGUUUACUGAUUCUGAUUUUUUUAAGCAAUGGUUCUAGUGGCGGACUGGUGAGUAACACGUAAGCAACUUGCCUACUAAUGGGGGAUACCAUUGAGAAAUCAAUGUUAAUACCGCAUAACAUAUUUCUUUCGCAUGAUUGAAAUAUCAAAGGAGUAAUCCGAUAGUAGAUGGGCUUGCGGUUGAUUAGCUUGUUGGUGGGGUAAUGGCCUACCAAGGCAAUGAUCAAUAGCCGAGCUGAGAGGCUCUACGGCCACAUUGGGACUGAGAUACGGCCCAGACUCCUACGGGAGGCAGCAGUCGGGAAUAUUGCGCAAUGGAGGAAACUCUGACGCAGUGACGCCGCGUAUAGGAAGAAGGUUUUCGGAUUGUAAACUAUUUUAGGCAGGGAAGAGAAAGACGGUACCUGCAGAAUAAGCUCCAGCUAACUACGUGCCAGCAGCCGCGGUAAUACGUAGGGAGCAAGCGUUAUCCGGAUUUAUUGGGUGUAAAGGGUGCGUAGACGGUUUUUUAAGUUGGUUGUGAAAUCCCUCGGCUUAACUGAGGAAUUGCAACCAAAACUGGAAAUCUUGAGUACUGGAGGGGCAAGUGGAAUUCCUAGUGUAGCGGUGAAGUGCGUAGAUAUUAGGAGGAACACCGGUGGCGAAGGCGACUUGCUGGACAGAUACUGACGUUGAGGCACGAAAGUGUGGGGAGCAAACAGGAUUAGAUACCCUGGUAGUCCACACUGUAGACGAUGGAUACUAGGUGUAGGAUGGCUUGCCAUUCUGUGCCGCACGCUAACGCAAUAAGUAUCCCACCUGGGGAGUACGACCGCAAGGUUGAAACUCAAAGGAAUUGACGGGGGCCCGCACAAGCAGUGGAGUAUGUGGUUUAAUUCGAAGCAACGCGAAGAACCUUACCAAGG
rnacentral:rRNA from 1 species